rnacentral:lncRNA from 1 species
AACUGAGUAGUCUAAUGUUGUUCCGGUUUUGGUUUUUGUGAACGUUGACAUCGAUUCGUUCCAAAUUUCACUCUCGGGGCAUAAUAGAACAAUUUAAUUAGGUUUUACUCUUUGUUCGAUUAAAUGAGAAAAAGUACUUGUUGCAAUGUUAUACUGUUAGGGCGCAACUGAGUAGUCUAAUGUUGUUCCGGUUUUGGUUCUUGUGGAAGUUGACAUCGAUUCAUUUCAAAUUUACACUAUCAGGGCAUAACAGAACAAUAUAAUAAGGUUUUACUCUUUAUUCGAUUGAAUGAGAAAAAGUACUAGUUGCAAUGUUAUACUGUUAGGGCUCAACUGAGUAGUCUAACGUUUUUCAGGUUUAGGUUCUUAUGAACGUUGUCAUCGAUUCGUUCGAAAUUUACACACUCGGGGC